rnacentral:lncRNA from 1 species
GUCACCAUUUGUUAAUUUCAAUGAAGCUAGCACUUUGGUAGAUCUGCAGGAGGAUGAGGCAAACUCUCUUGCACCUUCUUGCCAUUUUUCACUAUAAACAUUGUGCUCAUUCCCCAUGUUUGAUGGAUGUCAAAAUGACAAUGCAAUAACCAGAGCCCUAUUCAUUAUGAAAGGAAGAUUUUAUCAGCAAAUGUCAUAUGUGUUGUGAUGUUUAGGAGUUUUGUGAAGAAGAAUACCUGGAUUGUUGGCAACAAACCGAAUUGCCGCCCAACCUCCUACUGGGACUCCAAUAGUGUUCAAGUAAGGAGGAUCCUCCAGGUUAAAUUUUGCUGUUUGUUGAUCAUAGUUUCCUGUGCCAUAGCCAAUGACAUAAAAGCUGUGUCCAUGAAGAUGAAUUGGAUGAUUUUCUGUUGUGAGUGUGCCAGUAUUCUGGAAGAUGAUUUGUAUCCUGCUCCCAUACUCGAAAACUAUUGCUCUGGUCCCAUUUGCAGCCUGCGUGUCAUUGGCUAUGUCAUUGGGUGCCCCAUUGACAAAGUCAUAGGCUUUUUCCGGCGUGGUUGGGAAAUCUAAAGUGAAGUAACCUUCCAGUUGCUUGUAAUAUGCUUCCAAAAUCGAGACUUUAGGUUCGAUGAAGCUUAUGUUGUUCAUUGAAGCUGCUAGUCUUCCUUUUCUGGGCCCUUGGCACUUGUUGUUUGGAUUUUCAGAGUUGCAUUUGUUUACAUUUAGCCCGAUUGUGAUAAAGAGAUGAGCGUCAAUGUUUCUUGGAACAUCAACUGCAUUUAGACUUCUGAGCCCAUCCAUGACAGUCUUAACAGCAAUAUUAUCAUUGAAAAUAGGUAACUUAGCUGGUACUGUUACAUUGUUAGGCAAUGCACCAAUGUAUUGGAAAUUAGCUAUUGCUGAUGUGUUUUGAAACUUGACGUUCUUUGCAGACUCGUACGGACCCAUGGCCAUGGAGUAUCUCCCAACGGUUUGAUCAGCUGUGACAAGAAUGUUCAUUGUCUGUCCAGGUACAAGCAUCACACGCUCUGUUGUAUAAGGCUUGGUGUAUUCGCCAUCUACUUCCACUAUGGUCAACCUGUGAUUAGCUAUGGUGAAGAAGGUCUCCAUGUUAAUACCAGCAUUUAUCAGUCUUAGCAGAUAUCGCCGGGCCAGGGAAUUUCUUGUUGACUGUUACAAUCUCGUUUGUUUGGCAUAGCCUGGUGAGUCUUAUUGUUUGUACCUGUUAGAAAAAUCAGUGACACAACAACAGACCACUGUUUAGAAAUCUGAAUACAGAGAAAAGAAAAAGAAAUAGGCAUGCAUGAGAUGAAAACUGUGUUCAAUAUUGAUUCUAAUUUGAAUAGGAAGUUAACAUUUUGCGUUGCUGAUACCUUGAAUUGGUAGAAUCUAGUUGCAGCGCCAAUCCUGCCAAUAUUCAUUACUUGAAGAGUGAACAAGAGAAAGCUAAGCCGGAACAAGGACGGGACAGCUGAACUGGUCAUCUUGAAUGGAAAGAGACAAGGAGAUUUGAGGUUGAAAGAUACUGCUUAAUGCAACUGGUUUUUAUAGCGUCUGAAGGCGAAAAAUAGGAAAUAAAAUAAAUAGAGUUGAGGAAAAGUUUCAUGAUUUGGAGAGUUGGGAACAGAGACAUUAGUGAUUAUAAGGUGUUGGGAAAGCGUGACUUGUUUCUUGACCCCAGCGUGAGAUUGAAGGCAACACACGAGUUACUAUAAAAGGAGAAAGAUACUCUUAGUUAGUGUCUGCUCUUUGAUUUUGAAUCAGUAAAAGCUUUAUACAUUAUGAUGCAGGAUUCUCUACCAAACCGCUGACUGAUCUGGACCAACCCGGUGACCUAAUGACUAUUUCUUUUGACAGGUCGUUAAUCAUCAACUUUAGGAUCAGCCGGGAUUAGUGAGGUGCAUGAUUUAGCAUGAUUAGAGAGUGUUUAGUAGGGUCGUGUUGGGGUUUUUUAGAGUGUUGAAAGAGAAAGAAGAAGAAAGAGUAAGAAGGGAUCAAGCUUCUUGGUCGGAAGUUUGGAUGGUCUUAAUUCUUUAUUGGUCGUGUCAUCAUCAAAAGUUCGUGCACGCCUUCAUUUGCCAAAGAGAACUCUUAUUUAUUUAUUUUUUUUUUUUCUUCUAAAUUUUGUUUAAUUUCUGAAUUUUUUUUUCCUUAUAUUGUAAGACCACUGAUACUGAUAUUUAC